CCUACGGGAGGCAGCAGUGGGGAAUAUUGGACAAUGGACGAAAGUCUGAUCCAGCAAUGCCGCGUGAGUGAUGAAGGCCUUAGGGUUGUAAAGCUCUUUUACCAGGGAUGAUAAUGACAGUACCUGGAGAAUAAGUUCCGGCUAACUCCGUGCCAGCAGCCGCGGUAAUACGGAGGGAGCUAGCGUUGUUCGGAAUUACUGGGCGUAAAGCGCACGUAGGCGGUUAUUCAAGUCAGAGGUGAAAGCCCGGGGCUCAACCCCGGAACUGCCUUUGAAACUAGAUAGCUAGAAUCCUGGAGAGGUGAGUGGAAUUCCGAGUGUAGAGGUGAAAUUCGUAGAUAUUCGGAAGAACACCAGUGGCGAAGGCGGCUCACUGGACAGGUAUUGACGCUGAGGUGCGGAAGCGUGGGGAGCAAACAGGAUUAGAUACCCUGGUAGUCCACGCCGUAAACGAUGAUAACUAGCUGUCCGGGCACAUGGUGCUUGGGUGGCGCAGCUAACGCAUUAAGUUAUCCGCCUGGGGAGUACGGUCGCAAGAUUAAAACUCAAAUGAAUUGACGG
rnacentral:rRNA from 1 species